GAAAAAACAGACCCUUUUCCGUUUCUGUCUCUUACUGAUUUUACUUUCUUGUUAUUCUAAAUAUAAAACGAAAAUCAAAGCAUUAAAAAAAAUCGUAUAUCCCUUUUUGAUCACGAAAAGGAAAAACGCCUUGUAUUUCAAUUUUAAUUUUUGAAUUUUAAAACGAAAAUCAAAUAACCACUCGUUUUUUGUUUUUCAAUACCCGUUUCAGAACGGAAAAUCCAAUUACCAGAUCCGUACACGGACCCACCACACACACCUUUGACACACUUCCACACAUUAGUUGAGUAGCAGCGAAAACCUGGUCGCACCAAACUAUUUUACAUCUGGUGCGAAGCUCUCCAGCAAACUACAGCGUCGGAUGAAGAGUCCAGCCACUUGUCUGUCAUCGUUUACAAUGUUGGGAAGGAGGAGGAAGAGGAGAGAAUGGAGGUCUCCUGCUGUCCUGGUAUCCCAGAGAGAGGUAGAGGGACAGACCGGCCUCCAGCCAGGAGACGCUGCAGCAGCCGCUCCACCAGCGAGCGCUCCGGGCCACAGACACUCCCUACAGCUGGCUGGAAAACUGAGAAGGAACCUGACAGCUUACCUUCUCUGCCACAUUUCCUGCCCAAAAGGAGGCCAGAUGUCCAGCCACCUCUGUCAGAAUAUGUGGACAGCCCUUCUCCAUCAGACCUGUCCAAGUACUUGGACCAGGAGACCAUCAAAAUACUGUUUCUGAUUCAACUCAGUAAAAACGAUUUUCAUUUGUUUUCAAAUGCACUUUUUAUGGUCUGACCAUGGUUUUGUACAUAAAAUAUGUGUGUUCAUAAGUAUCUGGCACACUUAGAAAUUUGAUUGCACUAUUGUAAAUAAUUUGUUUUGAUGCUGAUGUUGUCUCUUUGCAAAUUUAGCAGUUUUGUUUAUUUUCGUUUUUUUUACAGGUUACAAAAUUGACCAUAUCUCAAAAAGCAAAUUAUGUACAGACUCCAAAUAAAUUUCCUGUGGUUCCAGA